UACAGAGGGUGCAAGCGUUGUUCGGAAUUAUUGGGCGUAAAGCGCGUGUAGGCGGCUUUGCAAGUCGGGUGUGAAAGCCCUCAGCUCAACUGAGGAAGUGCGCCCGAAACUGCAAGCUUGAGUACCGGAGAGGAUGGUGGAAUUCCCGAAGUAGAGGUGAAAUUCGUAGAUAUCGGGAGGAACACCGGUGGCGAAGGCGACCAUCUGGACGGAUACUGACGCUGAGACGCGAAAGCGUGGGUAGCAAACAGG
rnacentral:rRNA from 1 species